AAGCCAUGGUGAGGAUAAUCGCGUUCAUAGUCCUUGAAUUGUUCCCAUGCUUUGUAGAAAGAUUCAACCAAUCCUUGUUCAAAUCCUUGUAGCUUGUUCCUAAGAGA